rnacentral:rRNA from 1 species
AUUGAACGCUGGCGGCAUGCCUUACACAUGCAAGUCGAACGGUAACGGGCCUUCGGGUGCCGACGAGUGGCGAACGGGUGAGUAAUGUAUCGGAACGUGCCCAGUAGUGGGGGAUAGCCCGGCGAAAGCCGGAUUAAUACCGCAUACGACCUACGGGUGAAAGGGGGGGAUCGCAAGACCUCUCGCUAUUGGAGCGGCCGAUAUCAGAUUAGGUAUUUGGUGGGGUAAAGGCCUACCAAGCCUGCGUUCUGUAGCUGGUCUGCGAGGACGACCAGCCACACUGGGACUGAGACACGGCCCAGACUCCUACGGGAGGCAGCAGGGGGGAAUUUUGGACAAUGGGCGCAAGCCUGAUCCAGCAAUGCCGCGUGCAGGAAGAAGGCCUUCGGGUUGUAAACUGCUUUUGUCAGGGAAGAAAUCCUCUGGGUUAAUACCUCGGGGGGAUGACGGUACCUGAAGAAUAAGCACCGGCUAACUACGUGCCAGCCGCCGCCGUAACAC